GCUCCAUACUUUUAAUAUGCUUGACCUUUGACAUGUGCAAAUAUAUAUAUUCUUUUGUGUCCAGCUGAAUAAACAUCUUCAAGUAGGUAGUUUAUAAAAAGAAAAAUGUACUGUCACCACUGAGGUUUUGACACAAAGAUCCUAUGACAAAGAAUAAAGCAUAUUUACGAUGUUCUCAAAGUCAGUAGACUUAAUUGAAUUUUAUUUUUUACAAUUAAUCCAUGUUCUAAGAGAGUUUAAUCAUAUAAUUUUGUUAAACAAAAUUAAGCACAGGCCUACUGUAUGCUGCGACUUUGUAUAGGAGCAAUGCACUACGCAAUAAUGUAAGUGAUAUAAAUUGUUUGCCAAAUUUCCUUUACAAAUUACACAAGAUUUAUGAACACUAUCACACAUGAUGCAAGGUUUAUCAAUAUUCACAAGUUUUAUAGAAUUCAAUUAUAGAAUUACAAGUUUUAUAGAAUUCAAUUAUAGAAUUACAGUACAUAAAGUAACAUAGCUCCCUCAAAAUCUUACUGUACAAUUUAUUUUUGUUUGGCAUCUAUCCAUAACAUUUGGCCCCUUAACCACAUGUACUUUUUAAGUGUGUAAAGUGGAGGUUGUGACAGCGAAUAUAUUCCAACCAGUGGUCACAUCCUUCUUUUUAAUUUUCCAAAUCCUGGAUUCACGCCUGAUGAUGAGCUCAUAUAGUGGGAAAAAAUUGUAAAGAUGCAUUUUUUUUUUAGAUACAUGUUUCCCUCUAAUUAAAGACCCCUCCAAAUAAAGACCACCUCCAACUAAAGACCACUUUUCUGAGGUCCCAAAUUAACAUGUCUUUUAUUUUUAUUAUUCUAAUUAGAGACCAAAGUUGCUAAAGACCAUGGAAAUCCCAGUCCCAAAAGUGGUCAUUAAUUGGAGAGAGACUUGUAUCUACCUCUGAUAGAUGGCCUUUUAAUGUAUUGUACAGAGAAGAACAAGUGAUGUGGGUGGGGGAGCUGAUGACAGGGAAAUGAAAUCAUCAUAUAAUGUUGUUAAACAAAAAUUAAGCACAGGCCUUCUGCCCAAUGGUGAGUUCCAGGAUCUUCAAGAACCAGGAGACCACAUCCUCACAUUACAACUUCACUUUUUUAUUUUCUUUUGUAAAAUUUAAAGGAAAACAAAUGUACAGUAUAAAACAAUCUUUCUGAAUGGUUGUGUGUAUGUCAACCAUUUCUGUGGUCAAUGACAGCCAAGUGUCUUCAACAUGAUGGUGGCUAUUUAAACAAGUAACACGCUACACUAAUGAAAUAAUCUAAUUAAAUUGGUAUCUAAUCGGUAUCAAAAACUGAAAGCAGAUUGCAUAAUCAAAGCCCAGAGAUAACACUUUGUAAAAAAAAAAAACAAUAAAAAAUGAUAAACUUAAAUCCUGUAUUUACAGGCACCAUUACAAAUAAAAACAGAUAAAACAAAUAUUUGAAUUUUGCUUGUUAGCAUUUCCAACAAUGGCAGAGUAUUCAAGUAUUAAUAAAUAU